rnacentral:lncRNA from 1 species
UGAAUUUACCAAAUGAUGAAGCUCUGGUGAGAGCUCACCGGAGAAGACGACCAUAGUUUUUUCAGGUUGUCUGAGUUUGGAGAAACACGUUGGAGGAACAAAAUGUUUUGAUUGGUUGAAUUUGAAUUGGAUUUUGUGUGUUGCUUGCAGUGCGUUCCAUCAUGCUCUCUAACAUGUGAUUCUCUAACAUGUUGUCUGCCACGUCAAUUAAUGAGGCCUGAUCCAACGCCCCAUGUUUUUUUUGAUUUUUAUUCUUUUUUUUUUUAUUAUUUUUAAUUUCUUUUUCUUUUAAAAGUCAUAGUAAUUUAUUUUUAAUCCAAAAAAUCCCAAAAUAAUUUCUAAAUAUCUCUAUUAUUUUUCUUCAUCUGAUUUUUAUUUUUUCAUAUUUUAUUUCACUGAGUUUCUAUUUUUCAUAAAUUUUCACUUUUCUCCUUUGUUUUAAUUGGUUUAAAAAUACUUUUCUGCAUUUUUAAAUUCUG